rnacentral:rRNA from 1 species
GAUGAAUGCUAGCGGCAGGCCUAAUACAUGCAAGCCGAACGGCAAGUUUGAUAGCAAUAUUGGACCUAGAGUGGCGCAAGGGUGCGUAACACGUAUGCAACCUUCCCGCGACAGGAGGAUAGCUCCCCGAAAGGGGAAUUAACCCUCCAUAACACCAUGAGAAUUCAUCUGAUUAUGGUUAAUCCGCAAGGGGUCGCGUAUGGGCAUGCGUUUGAUUAGCUAGUUGGCGGGGUAACGGCCCACCAAGGCGGUGAUCAAUAGGGGUUCUGAGAGGAAGGUCCCACACAGAGGCGAUGAGAUACGAGCCAGAAACCGACGGAAGGCAGAAGUAGGGAAUAUAGGAAAAUGGUAGAAAGAAUGAUCAAGCCAUGAAGGGUGGAGGAAGAAGGCCUGCGGGGUCGUAAAAUGCUUUUUGCUGUGGAUAAAAUACCAGUGCGCGGGAAAUUGAAGGUAACAGGGGAAUAAGCAACGGCUAACUACGUG